ensembl:lncRNA novel transcript
CCAAUGGCUUUCCCAAGUCAUUUACCAGGGUAGCACAAGAUGCCUUACAAAUUACCAGAGUAAAGUAAUGGCCCCAACAGGUAUGCUUUUGAGGCCACAUGAGGAGAUACACAGCUGCAGGAUUCCCUAUCAGCAAAGACUGAAUGAUGUCAAACGUUCAGAAAAGGAGAAACUAAGUGGGUGUAGCACAAUCAAUCACUUUGCAUUUCAAGGUGAACUUGCAGCUCUUAUGGGGAGGGAAUUCUCUAUGUCAUUUUCCACGUAAAUAAAGUAAUGAGACCA